UCUAUUCGAUCACGGAUUGGCAUCGAAGUUCGAUCAGCGAUUCGCAUCCAUUCGAUCAACCGGGAACUUAACUUUUUCUACCGCUUUUUAACUCGUUUUUUCGCUGCUUUCCACUGUAGGGGGAUUUUUCCUCAGGGACUCUCCCUGAAGGACCACUCUGUGUGAGUUAUGUACCAGUCUGUCCAGGAUGGCAUCUGCUGUUGUGGGUUCUCCAUCAGACCAUGCCAUUUAUCUACCGGGAACUGGCUUA
rnacentral:rRNA from 1 species